rnacentral:rRNA from 1 species
GAUGAACGCUGACAGAAUGCUUAACACAUGCAAGUCUUUGGCGAAGCUGUGCUUGCACAGCCUAGCCAAGGCGGACGGGUGAGUAACGCGUAAGGAACUUGCCCUGCAGUCAGGGAUAACAGACGGAAACGACUGAUAAGACCUGGUAAAGUCAGGCGGACUCAUGUCGAGCCUGAUGAAAAGAGAUGCUGCAGGAGAGCCUUGCGUCCUAUUAGCUUGUUGGUGGGGUAACGGCCCACCAAGGCGAUGAUAGGUAGCCGGCCUGAGAGGGUGGACGGCCACAAGGGGACUGAGAUACGGCCCUUACUCCUACGGGAGGCAGCAGUGGGGAAUAUUGGACAAUGGGGGCAACCCUGAUCCAGCAAUUCUGUGUGCACGAUGAAGGUUUUCGGAUUGUAAAGUGCUUUCAGCAGGGAAGAAAAAAUGACGGUACCUGCAGAAGAAGCGACGGCUAAAUACGUG